rnacentral:lncRNA from 1 species
GAAACGUAUAACGAAGGAUGGCUAAAUGAUAAGAUAAUAAACAAUUUUCUAAUCGACGUACAAAGAAAAUCUCAGGGUACCAAUCGUGUAGCAGUCAUGAGCAGCUUCAUGUACACAAAACUAUGUAAAUAUGGCGUCCAUUCCAU